rfam:Strongylocentrotus purpuratus Contig106968_fixed, whole genome shotgun sequence.
CCAACAGUCCUUUUCAGGACUACUUACCGUUCAAGAAAGAUUACCG